UACGGAGGGUGCGAGCGUUGUUCGGAAUUACUGGGCGUAAAGCGCGUGCAGGCGGCCGAUUAAGUCCGGUGUGAAAGCCCGGGGCUCACCUCCGGAAGUGCGCUGGAAACUAGUCGGCUAGAGUACGGGAGAGGGAAGCGGAAUUCCUGGUGUAGCGGUGAAAUGCGUAGAUAUCAGGAGGAACACCGGCGGCGAAGGCGGCUUCCUGGACCGAUACUGACGCUGAGACGCGAAAGCGUGGGGAGCAAACAGGAUUAGAAACCCCCGUAGU
rnacentral:rRNA from 1 species